GCAAGUCGAGGGGUAACAGGGAGCUUGCUCCGCUGACGACCGGCGCACGGGUGCGCAACGCGUAUGCAAUCUACCUCUUACUAAGGGAUAGCCCAGAGAAAUUUGGAUUAAUAUCUUAUGUGAUAUGUGACUGGCAUCGGUUACAUAUUAAAGGUUACGGUAAGAGAUGAGCAUGCGUCUCAUUAGUUAGUUGGUAAGGUAACGGCUUACCAAGACUUCGAUGAGUAGGGGUCCUGAGAGGGAGAUCCCCCACACUGGUACUGAGACACGGACCAGACUCCUACGGGAGGCAGCAGUGAGGAAUAUUGGACAAUGGACGGAAGUCUGAUCCAGCCAUGCCGCGUGUAGGAAGACUGCCCUAUGGGUUGUAAACUACUUUUAUACAGGAAGAAUAAGAUCUACGUGUAGAUUGAUGACGGUACUGUAAGAAUAAGGACCGGCUAACUCCGUGCCAGCAGCCGCGGUAAUACGGAGGGUCCGAGCGUUAUCCGGAAUUAUUGGGUUUAAAGGGUCCGUAGGCGGGCUGUUAAGUCAGAGGUGAAAUGCUGCGGCUCAACCGUAUGCACUGCCUUUGAUACUGGCGGUCUUGAGUUAUAGUGAAGUGGCUAGAAUAAGUAGUGUAGCGGUGAAAUGCAUAGAUAUUACUUAGAAUACCGAUUGCGAAGGCAGGUCACUAACUAUACACUGACGCUGAUGGACGAAAGCGUGGGUAGCGAACAGGAUUAGAUACCCUGGUAGUCCACGCCGUAAACGAUGGAUACUAGCUGUUCGGUUUUCGGACUGAGCGGCCAAGCGAAAGUGAUA
rnacentral:rRNA from 1 species